UACGAACUGUGCGAACGUUAUUCGGAAUCACUGGGCUUACAGGGUGCGUAGGCGGCUCUUCAGGUCAGGUGUGAAAGCCCCCGGCUCAACCGGGGAACUGCGCUUGAAACCGAGUGGCUCGAGUCAGCUAGAGGUACACGGAACUUCCAGUGGAGCGGUGAAAUGUGUUGAUAUUGGAAGGAACACCGGAGGCGAAAGCGGUGUACUGGGGCUGGUCUGACGCUGAGGCACGAAAGCCAGGGGAGCGAACGGG
rnacentral:rRNA from 1 species